CCCAGAGUUUGCUUCUUUCCUGCAGGUCCUUUUCACAAACUUGCCCGCCAGAUUGUUGUUAUUCGGAAAACACAAGAUGCUUUCUAUUGCUGGAAAGCUAAGCUUCUAAUUUGAUCCUCUGUAAGAGCUUAGGCAGCUUAACGCUCGCUGAUAAAAAUGAACCAACUAAACUGCCUUGGGGCUAACAAGUAGCGAUCAAGUGAUACGGAUGGCUAUUAACACCAAAGAGAAAUUGAUGUUGAAAAAAAUUGAGAACGCAUAGCAGGAGAACAAAAAGGAUCAGCCGCCCCACCUAGUUUGACAUAUUACCAACCUCAACUAAUUCUAACUCAGGACUUGAAUAAAUUGAAGUAUUGAAGAUCUGAUUGAUAUUAUGUUCCGCUACAUACUGCAAAUUCGAUGAGCUUCAUGCAGGUGAAGUUUGUCAAAAUUAGUCGACUAAAGUUUAAUAGAACACAAUAACUCCCUCUUGUGUUGUCAAAUAUGAAAUUAUUAUUUUAUAGACAGAUCAAUUUGACUAAUCUGAUGAAUAUUUGAUAUGAUAUCUCUCGUUUCAGACUUAACUUAAGCAUAACUUUCAUAUAAAUAUUACUUAUAUAUACCGUAGUAAUAUUAUACUCUUUAAUUUGUCGCUUAAAAUCCUAAGUAUGAAUUAGUUUAGUGCAGAUCAAACUUCCAAAAGGGAACAUCACUAGUAUGUAUCCUAAUUGUAUUGUCUCUGGAGUAUUUUAUUAGCUUGUUGACCAGAAUGGCAAACACAACUACACUCUUAUUACUUCAUUCUAUUUUUACAAUUCCGAGGGACAAUGACCAGUCAAGGAAGAAAUAACCACACUUUAACAUAUGAAAAAUGGUUUUUAUAUUUGCCUGGCACUAA